rnacentral:rRNA from 1 species
CCCUUAGAUGUUCUGGGCCGCACGCGUGCUACACUGAGUGGAUCAGCGGGUCAGGUUGCGCGAAAGUGUUUCCUAAUCUUUAAAUCCGCUCGUGAUGGGGAUUGACGGUUGCAAUUUUCCGUCAUGAACGAGGAAUACCUAGUAAGCGCGAGUCAUCAGCUCGCGUUGAUUACGUCCCUGCCCUUUGUACACACCGCCCGUCGCUACUACCGAUUGAAUGGUUUAGUGAGAUCUUCGGAUUGGCGCCAUCGUGGCUUCGCGGCCAUGACGGAUGGCCGAAAAGUUGAUCAAACUUGAUCAUUUAGAGGAAGUAAAAGUCGUAACA